rnacentral:rRNA from 1 species
UACGUAGGGUGCGAGCGUUAAUCGGAAUUACUGGGCGUAAAGCGUGCGCAGGCGGUUUUGUAAGACAGGCGUGAAAUCCCCGGCGUCACCUGGACGUAGCGUUUGUUGACUGCAAGGACGUAGAGUAUGGCGAGAGGGGGGUGGGAAUUCCACGUGUAGCAGUGAAAUAGCGUAGAGAUGUGGAGGAACACCAGUGGCGAAGGCGA